GAUGAACGCUGGCGGCGUGCCUAAUACAUGCAAGUCGAGCGAAUGGAUUGAGAGCUUGCUCUUAUGAAGUUAGCGGCGGACGGGUGAGUAACACGUGGGUAACCUGCCCAUAAGACUGGGAUAACUCCGGGAAACCGGGGCUAAUACCGGAUAACAUUUUGAACCGCAUGGUUCGAAAUUGAAAGGCGGCUUCGGCUGUCACUUAUGGAUGGACCCGCGUCGCAUUAGCUAGUUGGUGAGGUAACGGCUCACCAAGGCAACGAUGCGUAGCCGACAGGAGAGGGUGAUCGGCCACACUGGGACUGAGACACGGCCCAGACUCCUACGGGAGGCAGCAGUAGGGAAUCUUCCGCAAUGGACGAAAGUCUGACGGAGCAACGCCGCGUGAGUGAUGAAGGCUUUCGGGCCGUAAAACUCUGUUGUUAGGGAAGAACAAGUGCUAGUUGAAUAAGCUGGCACCUUGACGGUACCUAACCAGAAAGCCACGGCUAACUACGUGCCAGCCGCCGCGGUAA
rnacentral:rRNA from 1 species